rnacentral:rRNA from 1 species
AUUGAACGCUGGCGGCAGGCCUAACACAUGCAAGUAGAGCGAGCGGCGGACGGGUGAGUAAUGUCUGGGAAACUGCCUGAAGGAGGGGGAUAACUACUGGAAAAGGUAGCUAAUACCGCAUACCAUCAGAUGGGCCCAGAUGGGAAUAGCUAGGAGGGGGGGUAAUGGCUCACCUGGGCGACGAUCCCUAGCUGGUCUGAGAGGAUGACCAGCCACACUGGAACUGAGACACGGUCCAGCCUCCUACGGGAGACAGCAGUGGGGAAUAUUGCACAAUGGGCGCAAGCCUGAGGCAGCCAGGCCGCGUGUGGGAAGAAGGCCUUCGGGUUGUAAAGCACUUUCAUCGGGGAGGCGUUACCCGCAGAAGAAGCACCGGCUAACUCCGUGCCAGCGGCCGCGGUAAUUC